rnacentral:lncRNA from 1 species
GCAACUCUCAUGCCCAUGAAGCUGUAGCUCAGGUGUCAUAUGAUAAAAUAUUACUCAGAAGUACAUAUUCACUCUUAAAGCAUAGUGGGAAAUAAUUGAUGAAGAAGGUGUCUUUCCAUCUGGCCAAACAUCAUUAAAGUAAGGAUACGAUUGAUAUGAGAAAAAAGUAAGACCAACAUUCUAGGAAACUUUUUGGUGAGUGCACAUGAGAGCUUGUGUGUGUGUCUGUAGCCAAAAGAGUUCCUUUAAAAGCAUUUUCCAAGCAUUUAAAUUAGAUUGCUAUUUAUGAAAUUUUAAUGUAGAAAAGACUAGCUCAUGAAUAUAUCUGUUAUAUAAAGAGGGUACCAGUAUGUAGACAUAUACUUUCUUUUAUUAAAAAAUUUUUAAAUUAUUUGGUUUUAGGCUAUGGCAAAGAUACGGGGAGACACUCCAGAGCAGCCAUGGGAAGAAGAGCAGUGUGAAGAGCAGGAAAUUCAUUAUCACAUUGUCAAGACAAAUCAAGACCAGCUACGAAUAAGGGUCAGGCUGAACUGGAUAAUUUAUUUUCCGGUAAAAGGUAAGUGGAUGGCAUUGGCAUCUUAGUGAUGACAACCAUCAGUGUGCCUGUCUCUUGGGAUGCAUUGGUCCAGACCAUUCUGGUUGCCCUCUAAAUCUGCUGCACAGCUGUCCUCCUAAGAUUACAUUUUUCGAUUUCCUAAUGGAUUUUCUCAUUCUUUCUUCUGUGUUGGAUGACCUACUUUCCAUGUCUUCUUCCUUGGUUUAUUCUCUCUUUCUCUUUCCUUUUUUUUUUUAUUUUGGUAGAGGGUGAAACUCAUACUCCAGUACUUCUUGAGAAAGGGUGAGAGGGAAGUAUAUUUUUUAACCUUUCGUGUUUGAAAAUACCUUUAUUCUAGCAUCAUAUUAGUUGACACUUGCCUGGGUAUAGAUUUUAGAUUAGAAAUAACUGUCCUUCAGAACGUUAAAGGCAUUUUUCCAAUGUUAUUUGCUUCCGGGGUGAUUGUUGAGGAGCCUGAAUCCAUCUCAACACUCUAUCCUGUGUGUAAGGCUCUUCUCUCCAUCUCUUUUGAAGUUUAUUCAAACUUGUGAUUCCACUGUGCUGGGCACUCACUAGGUCCUUUAAAUCUAAAAACUCUUGUAAUCCAUUUCCAGGCUCC